CUACUGCUGGUUACCCACUUCCAUACAGGACAAUGCCAUCACCCAGCAGCUCAAGCCAAAACCCCAAGGAGUUUGAUUCAUCCGCUUCCCCACAUCCUACAUGUGAUAUAUCAGGACAUCUGGCGCUUGUGCCUCCAAAUAUACUCUAAUUGUGUGUCUACCUCUUGCCUUCUCUGCUACUGCUGACAGUUAUACUCCAGCAGCCUCUGUCACUGCAACAGCCUCCCCACUGGUCUCCCUGUUAUCGGAAAAAGGGUCUUGAUCCAGAUUCCAAGAGAGGGUUCUUGGACCUCGUGCAGAAAAAAAAUUCAAGGUGGAGUCCAUUGUACACACAGCAGCCAUGGUGACUGCAUACAAAUGCAAAUCAGAGCACGCCAUUCCUCUGUUUAAAACUUUGCAACAGGCCAGGCCCCAUGGCUCAUGCCUGUAAUCCCAGCACUUUUGGAGGCUGAUGUGUGCAGAUCCCUUGAGCCCAGGAGUUUGAGAUGAGCCUGGCCAACAUGGCAAAACGCUGUCUUUACUAAAAAUGCAAAUAUUAGCCAGGUGCAAUGGUGCACGUCUGUAAUCUCAACUACUCAGGAGGCUGAGGCAUGAGAAUCGCUUAACCCGGGAGGCGGAGGUUUCAGUGAGCCAAGAUCACACCACUGCACUCCAGCCUGGGUGACAGAGCAAGAUCCUAUCUCAAAAGAAAAAAAAAACAACAACUUUGCAAUAGCCUCCCAUGUCCCCAGAAUAAAAUCCAACCCCCACCCCACAGUGAGCUACAAGGUUCUCCAUGAUCCAGAUCCUUCCAGUUCCUUCCCAUUCAAGCUUCCCCUCCAACGCUGCCUCCUCUGAGACCCCAGUCUGAUGAUUUCCUCUGAUGCCAAGAAUUCCCCUGCCAUGGUGCCCUCUCGUUCCCUUGUGUAUCACCCCAGUUUCUGUAGUCCCUGUCAUUGAUGGCUUUUGUUUUGUUUUGUCCCUCAUUUACCACCUGUCUCCCCAACUAGAGAAUAAAGUCCAUGUGAGAGCCCCU
rnacentral:lncRNA from 10 species